rnacentral:miRNA from 1 species
CUGCUUCCAUACCCCUACCCAG